GCUCUGGAAAAAGGCAGCCUCUCCCUUCCCCCAUGCUGACUCAGACCUUCAAAGCCAACCCAGGGCUUUUUCUAUCACUAGGCUGUGGAGAGCUGACAGCCUGAAAACUCGAGGAAGCUGUUUGCUUCAUUUCAGCAGUUUUGAAGUCUUGUUUCAGUCCAGUGGGUUGACAGAGAUGCUCGGGUAUUGCUUUCUUGGGAUCCAUUUAUCUAAAGAAGCAAUCAAGCUAUUCCCACUGGCUGCAGUGUGAAGGCCAAGGAGACUGAAGAGACAUACACGGGACUUGCUCUUUGAUUAGUCUGAUCAUGAGAAACAAGUGUGAUGAAGAACACGAGGCUGAGGCCAGCUUCCAUCCUGCGCCUGGUGAGAGAGGUUCACAUUGCCCCACUGAGCCUUCCUGUGCCCUGCCCUGGAUGUUCCAGCUCUGCUUGUACCCAGGUUUGCAGGAACUAAUGAACCAUCCUCUGUCUCAAGAGCAAACAGUUUACAUCUCACAGUCAAUAAACACAAGCCCUUUGCAUUCA